UACGGAGGAUGCGAGCGUUAUCCGGAUUUAUUGGGUUUAAAGGGUGCGUAGGCGGGAUGCCAAGUCAGCGGUAAAAAUGCGGUGCUCAACGCCGUCGAGCCGUUGAAACUGGCGUUCAUGAGUGGGCGAGAAGUAUGCGGAAUGCGUGGUGUAGCGGUGAAAUGCAUAGAUAUCACGCAGAACUCCGAUUGCGAAGGCAGCAUACCGGCGCCCUACUGACGCUGAGGCACGAAAGCGUGGGUAUCGAACAGG
rnacentral:rRNA from 1 species